rnacentral:rRNA from 1 species
AUGAACGCUGGCGGCGUGCCUCAUACAUGCAAGUCGAGCGAACGGACGAGAAGCUUGCUUCUCUGAUGUUAGCGGCGGACGGGUGAGUAACACGUGGAUAACCUACCUAUAAGACUGGGAUAACUUCGGGAAACCGGAGCUAAUACCGGAUGAUAUUUUGAACCGCAUGGUUCAAAAGUGAAAGACGGUCUUGCUGUCACUUAUAGAUGGAUCCGCGCUGCAUUAGCUAGUUGGUAAGGUAACGGCUUACCAAGGCAACGAUGCAUAGCCGACCUGAGAGGGUGAUCGGCCACACUGGAACUGAGACACGGUCCAGACUCCUACGGGAGGCAGCAGUAGGGAAUCUUCCGCAAUGGGCGAAAGCCUGACGGAGCAACGCCGCGUGAGUGAUGAAGGUCUUCGGAUCGUAAAACUCUGUUAUUAGGGAAGAACAUAUGUGUAAGUAACUGUGCACAUCUUGACGGUACCUAAUCAGAAAGCCACGGCUAACUACGUG